rfam:Angiostrongylus costaricensis strain Costa Rica genome assembly, scaffold: ACOC_scaffold0002290
CAGGGUAUAGCUCAGGGAUAGAGCACUCGCUUCGCAUGCGAGAAGCCUGAGGUUCGAUUCCCCAUACCUUCA